rnacentral:tRNA from 1 species
UGGGCUGUAGCUCAGUCGGUGGAGUGCUUGCCUAGCAUGCAGUGAGCACUGGGUUCCAUCCCCAGCACCACAA